CUGUCCGAGCCCCACCCACUCCACUGCACACACUCGCUGUCGCCCUCGCCCCGACUCGACUCCGCCGCUCGCGCGGCGCCGGAGCCCUAAACCCUAGGUCUCCCACGCGGCGGCGGCGGCGGGCGGGGGUUUCUCGCCAUGUCGCACUUCGGGAGGUCGGGGCCGCCGGACAUCCGCGACACCUUCUCGCUCCUCGUCCUCAACAUCAGCUUCCGUACCACAGCCGACGACCUCUUCCCGCUCUUCGACCGCUACGGCAAGGUCGUCGACGUCUUCAUCCCGAGGGAUCGGAGGACUGGGGACUCGAGGGGAUUCGCGUUCGUGCGCUACAAGUACGCUGAAGAGGCGCAGAAGGCUAUAGAUCGGCUUGAUGGGCGUAAUGUGGAUGGGAGGAACAUCAUGGUGCAGUUUGCCAAGUAUGGGCCCAAUGCGGAGCCAAUACGAAAAGGAAGGAUCAUAGAAGAGGUUGAGAAAUCACGGGACAGGUCAAGAAGCCGUAGCCCAAGGCGAAGGCACAGAGAUGACCACAGAGAUAGAGAACGCAGGGGCCGAAGUCGCAGCAGAAGCAGAGAAAGGCAUGGCCGUGACAGGGAUAGGGAUCAUCGUCGUCACAGCAGAAGCAGAAGCAGAAGCAGAAGCCGAAGCCGAAGCCGAAGCUUAAGCCCAGACUACAAGAACCGUCGUAGAGGAAGAGAUGAUGAUAAGCGUAGGAGCAAGAGCAAGAGCAAGAGCAAGAGCAGGAGCAAAAGCAGGAGCAGGAGUAAGAGCAGGAGCAAAAGCAGAAGCAGGAGCAGAAGCAGGAGUCGGAGCCGCUCAUUUCAUAGUGCAUCGCCUACUCGGCACAGCGCUAGCCCUCCUCUCAAGGGAUCAACACCACGCAGGAGCCCUGCUCGCAAUGGAAGUCCUGAAAAAGAGACAAAUGGAAAAGGUUCACCUCCUUCACGCAGUGUUUCACCAUCACCACAGCGUGCUGGCUCCCGUAGCCCAGGUAGUGAUGACAAGGAAUAAAGUUUGUUGAUCCAGUGAUGCUUAAGAAGAGUCUUCAAAUUGGACUAGAAAAGUUUGGCUGAGCAUGGGAGUAGCACCGAAGCAGAUUCAAGGUUGCUAGUUCUUCGUGGUUUCUAGAUUGUAUUUCCUGUUAUCUGUUCGUGAGACGGGUUGCUGUUUUCUAGUAGAAUGAUAUUGCACGGGAUCGCCCAUGAUGGAUGAUGUUCUAGCUAUUAGUCUUUGUUGUUGGUGUGAUGCCCGCGAUGGUGCAGCUGAUGAUUGUGGUGAUGGCGCUGAUGCUGAUUAUGGGCAGAUCUUGGUAUUGACACACUGAUGUUGUUCACUGCUGACAGAGUUCCUUGAAUUGUUUUUGUUCAAAAGGUUACAAAGAAAAUCAUGAAGUUCCAUAUGGAUCUCAUGAUUGGUAAGAAUAUUCUUGCACAACAGUGGCCUUACUCUUCUAUGGACUUACUCCACAUAUUUUUUCCUCUCUUGUCAAAGGUUUGACUGCGGUUCUUCUCUGGCCAUGCUGUUGAGUGUUGAGCAACAAGAUGUGCAGGCAUUGUUUUGUGGACAUGUGCUGCUGACCUCUUCUUUACUUACAGAUGAAUAGAGAUUUGACAUUUACCAGUGCCUUUCUUCAA